AGACCCGAAACCCGGUGAUCUAGCCAUGGGCAGGUUGAAGGUUGGGUAACACUAACUGGAGGACCGAACCGACUAAUGUUGAAAAAUUAGCGGAUGACCUGUGGCUGGGGGUGAAAGGCCAAUCAAACCGGGAGAUAGCUGGUUCUCCCCGAAAGCUAUUUAGGUAGCGCCUCGUGAAUUCAUCUCCGGGGGUAGAGCACUGUUUCGGCUAGGGGGCCAUCCCGGCUUACCAACCCGAUGCAAACUGCGAAUACCGGAGAAUGUUAUCACGGGAGACACACGGCGGGUGCUAACGUCCGUCGUGAAGAGGGAAACAACCCAGACCGCCAGCUAAGGUCCCAAAGUCAUGGUUAAGUGGGAAACGAUGUGGGAAGGCCCAGACAGCCAGGAUGUUGGCUUAGAAGCAGCCAUCAUUUAAAGAAAGCGUAAUAGCUCACUGGUCGAGUCGGCCUGCGCGGAAGAUGUAACGGGGCUAAACCAUGCACCGAAGCUGCGGCAGCGAACGUAUCACCCAAGACAACUUUACGGAGUUGACGAUUGACGGAGCGAAGCGACGUCAAAGCGUUCAUUAAAGUCGAGUUGGCUUAGGGAUACGUUCGUUGGGUAGGGGAGCGUUCUGUAAGCCUGUGAAGGUGUGUCGUGAGGCAUGCUGGAGGUAUCAGAAGUGCGAAUGCUGACAUAAGUAACGAUAAAGCGGGUGAAAAGCCCGCUCGCCGGAAGACCAAGGGUUCCUGUCCAACGUUAAUCGGGGCAGGGUGAGUCGACCCCUAAGGCGAGGCCGAAAGGCGUAGUCGAUGGGAAACGGGUUAAUAUUCCCGUACUUGGUGUUACUGCGAAGGGGGGACGGAGAAGGCUAUGUUGGCCGGGCGACGGUUGUCCCGGUUUAAGGGUGUAGGUGUGUGUUCCAGGUAAAUCCGGUUCACUUUAACACUGAGGCGUGACGACGAGGCACUACGGUGCUGAAGCAACAAAUGCCCUGCUUCCAGGAAAAGCCUCUAAGCAUCAGGUAACACGAAAUCGUACCCCAAACCGACACAGGUGGUCAGGUAGAGAAUACCAAGGCGCUUGAGAGAACUCGGGUGAAGGAACUAGGCAAAAUGGUGCCGUAACUUCGGGAGAAGGCACGCUGACACGUAGGUGAAGUGAUUUACUCAUGGAGCUGAAGUCAGUCGAAGAUACCAGCUGGCUGCAACUGUUUAUUAAAAACACAGCACUGUGCAAACACGAGAGUGGACGUAUACGGUGUGACGCCUGCCCGGUGCCGGAAGGUUAAUUGAUGGGGUCAGCGUAAGCGAAGCUCCUGAUCGAAGCCCCGGUAAACGGCGGCCGUAACUAUAACGGUCCUAAGGUAGCGAAAUUCCUUGUCGGGUAAGUUCCGACCUGCACGAAUGGCGUAAUGAUGGCCAGGCUGUCUCCACCCGAGACUCAGU
rnacentral:rRNA from 1 species